rnacentral:rRNA from 1 species
UGGCGAACGGGUGAGUAACACGUGAGUAACCUGCCCCUGACUCUGGGAUAAGCGUUGGAAACGACGUCUAAUACUGGAUAGGACUACUGGCCGCAUGGUCUGGUGGUGGAAAGAUUUUUUGGUUGGGGAUGGACUCGCGGCCUAUCAGCUUGUUGGUGAGGUAAUGGCUCACCAAGGCGACGACGGGUAGCCGGCCUGAGAGGGUGACCGGCCACACUGGGACUGAGACACGGCCCAGACUCCUACGGGAGGCAGCAGUGGGGAAUAUUGCACAAUGGGCGAAAGCCUGAUGCAGCAACGCCGCGUGAGGGAUGACGGCCUUCGGGUUGUAAACCUCUUUUAGUAGGGAAGAACCGAAAGUGACGGUACCUGCAGAAAAAGCACCGGCUAACUACGUGCCAGCAGCCCGCGGUAAUACGUAGGGUGCAAGCGUUGUCCGGAAUUAUUGGGCGUAAAGAGCUCGUAGGCGGUUUGUCGCGUCUGCUGUGAAAUCCCGAGGCUCAACCUCGGGCUUGCAGUGGGUACGGGCAGACUAGAGUGCGGUAGGGGAGAUUGGAAUUCCUGGUGUAGCGGUGGAAUGCGCAGAUAUCAGGAGGAACACCGAUGGCGAAGGCAGAUCUCUGGGCCGUAACUGACGCUGAGGAGCGAAAGCGUGGGGAGCGAACAGGAUUAGAUACCCUGGUAGUCCACGCCGUAAACGUUGGGCGCUAGAUGUAGGGACCUUUCCACGGUUUCUGUGUCGUAGCUAACGCAUUAAGCGCCCCGCCUGGGGAGUACGGCCGCAAGGCUAAAACUCAAAGGAAUUGACGGGGGCCCGCACAAGCGGCGGAGCAUGCGGAUUAAUUCGAUGCAACGCGAAGAACCUUACCAAGGCUUGACAUACACCGGUAACGGCCAGAGAUGGUCGCCCCCUUGUGGUCGGUGUACAGGUGGUGCAUGGUUGUCGUCAGCUCGUGUCGUGAGAUGUUGGGUUAAGUCCCGCAACGAGCGCAACCCUCGUUCUAUGUUGCCAGCGCGUUAUGGCGGGGACUCAUAGGAGACUGCCGGGGUCAACUCGGAGGAAGGUGGGGAUGACGUCAAAUCAUCAUGCCCCUUAUGUCUUGGGCUUCACGCAUGCUACAAUGGCCGGUACAAAGGGCUGCGAUACCGUAAGGUGGAGCGAAUCCCAAAAAGCCGGUCUCAGUUCGGAUUGA